GGUGAACGCUGGCGGCGUGCCUAAUACAUGCAAGUCGAGCGAACAGACGAGGAGCUUGCUCCUCUGACGUUAGCGGCGGACGGGUGAGUAACACGUGGAUAACCUACCUAUAAGACUGGGAUAACUUCGGGAAACCGGAGCUAAUACCGGAUAAUAUAUUGAACCGCAUGGUUCAAUAGUGAGAGACGGUUUUGCUGUCACUUAUAGAUGGAUCCGCGCCGCAUUAGCUAGUUGGUAAGGUAACGGCUUACCAAGGCAACGAUGCGUAGCCGACCUGAGAGGGUGAUCGGCCACACUGGAACUGAGACACGGUCCAGACUCCUACGGGAGGCAGCAGUAGGGAAUCUUCCGCAAUGGGCGAAAGCCUGACGGAGCAACGCCGCGUGAGUGAUGAAGGUCUUCGGAUCGUAAAACUCUGUUAUUAGGGAAGAACAAAUGUGUAAGUAACUAUGCACGUCUUGACGGUACCUAAUCAGAAAGCCACGGCUAACUACGUG
rnacentral:rRNA from 1 species